rnacentral:rRNA from 1 species
CGCAUCUGUGCAUGCAGCAUAUCAAUAAGCGGAGGAAAAGAGGGCUAUUACCUACGCUUAGGAUGUUGAAGAUGUAGCACAUCAUACACGCAUGACACACUGCAUAUCAAUAAGCGGAGGAAAAGAAACUAACAAGGAUUCCCCUAGUAACGGCGAGUGAAGCGGGAAGAGCUCAAAUUUGAAAUCUUAAAGGGUUUCCCUUUACGAAUUGUAGUUUAAAGAAGUGUUUUCUGUUGAGGUUUUGGUAAAAGUUCUUUGGAAUAGGACAUCAUAGAGGGUGAGAAUCCCGUAUUUGACCUUUACUUUCAACUUUGUGAUACACUUUCAAAGAGUCGGAUUGUUUGGGAAUGCAGUCCAAAAUGGGUGGUAAAUUUCAUCUAAAGCUAAAUAUUGGCGAGAGACCGAUAGCGAACAAGUACCGUGAGGGAAAGAUGAAAAGAACUUUGAAAAGAGAGUUAAACAGUACGUGAAAUUGUCAAAAGGGAAGCGUUUGACACCAGUGUUGUUUUUCUGAAAAUCAAUUAAAGAACUGUUUAUGCUAAGCUGUUUAGACUUUAUCAGCUAAUCUGUUUAGUUUUGAGCUUUUCUUUAAUGCACUUUUCAGUUAACAAGUCAACAUCAAUUUCUUUUGCUGUAAAAAAGCUUGAGGAAGGUGGCUUGAGAUUCGUCUUAAGUGUUUAUAGCCUCUUGCCUAUGCAGUCGGAGAGAUUGAGGUCUGCAGCGUAGAUCCUUCGGGGCUAAAUGCAUGUGUGCUAAGUUAUAGCAUUUUAUAGACAACUUGUUGACUAUGAUUUGUCUUGUAGCUUACUCGCUUAUGUUAUUUUACCUACGCUUAGGAUGUUGAGUCGUAGAGCACGCAG